CAGUUCCACAACUGACAGAGCCUUGGCUUUGCAUCUCCUCUUUGUUCCAGUGUCCAGACAUGGCUUGCUUUAAUUAUGCUUUGUAAGGCAGGUCGUGCUUUUCUCUUACCUCUCUGGCUAGCAUCCUGUGUAAUGUUCACAGUGUCCUGUCCUGUCAUGCCAGAUGGUCCUGUUUCAUAAGGAAAGUCAAUUCUGCUUCUCUCUAGGUCUUGGCUGCUCUGUCCUGUCUUUUGAGACGUCCCCAGGUGACUGUCCACUGCAGCGGGAGCUUCAGCUGGCACUCAGGUUUUGAGCCUGUGAAACACUGGAAGCCUGAGCCAUAGACUUCUGAUCAGAGUUGCCUGAGCCAGAGAAACUGCUGAGCAGAGAUGUCUGAGCUCCAAGGACUUGCUUCAAAGGUGAGUUGAGCAAGUGUCAGCACAGGUCACACAGGAGCAGGGAGUCCUGUGUGCUCAGGAACCUUCCAUGUGGUAAAGGGAGAAUCAGACCUAUCCAUGUAUAUUCACUAAGUGUCCUAAGAGUAUGAUUAUUUUUCAUUAUUUGAGCAUAAAGAUUAAAGGCACUAAUUUAGCCCAUACAAUGGCUAGGUUGCAUAGUCAUUUAUUUAUAUAAUUUAAAAAUUUAUAAAAUCUUAAAAGGAUAAAACAAGUGUCCUUUCAAGCAUUAAAAUGAGAUCAAAUGCCAGACAUUAAGCUAGGAUUGUCACUUAUAAAUGUGGCUUAUUUAAAGUAGAGUUAACCUAUAAAGUAAUCUAGCAGGGGAUGACUCUGAGCAAGAUGUGACUGGGAUAUGUUAUUGAUUACCCUAAAUAAUUCAUCUGAAUGCCUUUGAAUGAUGACUGCUGCAUUAAGGUUUUCAAUAUUUCAUCUUGGUCAAGUUUGAUUUACAUGAGUAUUUUAAAGCACUUGUGAGACUUACCAGCACACAAAUGACAGGAAUUGUCCUUUGUGUAUUUUAUCUGGAGUAACAUGAAUAAACUGCUACACAAUCACAGAAUCACCGAGUUGAAAGAUCACAGCAAACUUGGCAGUGACUAUGUGACUAUAACAUUUUGGAGGAAUAAGGAUAUUAGAAAUACCACUGUCUUUGGAGGAUAAGUCUAUAGGAGAACUGUAUUUAUAACCACUUCAAAGUUAGUACCUGUACUUUAUGAUAGUAACAACUAGACUCAAUUCAUACCACCACUCUUAACAUUUAAUACACACACAUACAUAUACAUUUAACACACACACACAUGUAUGUUUAAAAGGCAGAAUGAGGGGCUGGAGAGAUGGCUCAGUAGUUAGGAGCACUUGUUGCUCUUCUGAAGGACUCAGGUUCAGUUCCAAUGCCCCACACCAGACAGCUCACAAUGCCUGUAACUCCAGGGGAUCUAUUCCCUUCUUCUGGAUUUCAUGAGCAGCUGUACUCAUGUAAGCAUACACAGAAUCACAUAAUUAAAAAUUUUUAAAUUCUUAAAAAAUAGAACAAGUGAUCUAGUUAAUAUAAAAAGUACACUUAACUCAUCAUUUCUGUGAAGUGAUCAGUGAUCUGCCCCUUGUUCCAGUGUUUCAUGUUCUGACAUUAGUGAGCUCCUACAAUGCUAAGAUAGAUCUAGAAUGAAUUCUUCAGUUAUAAAAUGGCUACCAAUAUAGUUGGUUUUUUUUAAUAAUGCUGCUACCUUGAAUAUGUUCGAUAGUGAUUUUCUUUGUAGGUUUAACACUGUCCCACAACCCAUACUGGGUAAUUACAUUAGUUCUUCCUACUUCCAAUGCGUUAUCUUGUCAUACACAGUUGUUUCUAUCAUCACAGGCGGAGUGAAUU